rnacentral:rRNA from 1 species
UACGGAGGGUGCAAGCGUUAUCCGGGUUCACUGGGUUUAAAGGGUGCGUAGGUGGGCAGGUAAGUCAGUGGUGAAAUCUUUGGGCUUAACCCGAAAACUGCCAUUGAUACUAUUUGUCUUGAAUAUUGUGGAGGUCAGCGGAAUAUGUCAUGUAGCGGUGAAAUGCUUAGAUAUGACAUAGAACACCAAUUGCGAAGGCAGCUGGCUACACAUAUAUUGACACUGAUGCACGAAAGCGUGGGGAUCAAACAGG